rnacentral:lncRNA from 1 species
AUAUAUCUAUUCUCCCUCUCUCUUUCUCUUCCCAUGUCUUCUCCUCCGCCGGACCUUGCUACUGUGAAAUAAUAUUUUUUUCAGCUUUCUGCAAUUUUAUUCAGCUCGCCUGCAUUUUUGGCUUGAUUAUAUUCUCUGUCUUCAGUUUAAUAUUGCCCGUUACAACUUUGGAUUAAGAUAUUUAAAGGAGAAUCUAUUGAUGUGCAAAAUGUUAAGAUUGUCAUCUCUUUAACAUACUUGAAGGAUCAUUUAGAAUGCUGCUUUGACAAGCUUUUCAAACUUUCAGAAUUUCUGUUAAAGAACGCGAAGUUUUUGGAGAAAGUCUCCGUUAUUUCGCCAGUAAUUACGUGCUAAUUGUCGGCAACCGGAGGCAACGGUGAUGACGAGUGAGGACUGGAUACUGAUGCUGCUUCAACGAGGCAACAUUAGG